rnacentral:rRNA from 1 species
UUUCCCCCCCUUUCUUAUUUUAAAUUUCGGUUUCACCACCUGGCCUCAAAGUCUUGGGGAUUACAUUUUUGAAACUGAUGCUAUUACCUAAUAAAACUUAGAGUCUCAUGACACAAAGUUAAAAGGCGCUUCGGCGUCACCAAGAGAUGGAUCCGCGGUGCAUUAGUUAGUUGGGGGGGUAAAGGCCUACCAAGACAAUGAUGCAUAGCCGAGUUGAGAGACUGAUCGGCCACAUUGGGACUGAGACACGGCCCAAACUCCUACGGGAGGCUGCAGUAGGGAAUCUUCCACAAUGGGCGAAAGCCUGAUGGAGCAACGCCGCGUGUGUGAUGAAGGCUUUCGGGUCGUAAAGCACUGUUGUAUGGGAAGAACAGCUAGAAUAGGAAAUGAUUUUAGUUUGACGGUACCAUACCAGAAAGGGACGGCUAAAUACGUGCCAGCAGCCGCGGUAAUACGUAUGUCCCGAGCGUUAUCCGGAUUUAUUGGGCGUAAAGCGAGCGCAGACGGUUUAUUAAGUCUGAUGUGAAAGCCCGGAGCUCAACUCCGGAAUGGCAUUGGAAACUGGUUAACUUGAGUGCAGUAGAGGUAAGUGGAACUCCAUGUGUAGCGGUGGAAUGCGUAGAUAUAUGGAAGAACACCAGUGGCGAAUGCGGCUUACUGGACUGCAACUGACGUUGAGGCUCGAAAGUGUGGGUAGCAAACAGGAUUAGAUACCCUGGUAGUCCACACCGUAAACGAUGAACACUAGGUGUUAGGAGGUUUCCGCCUCUUAGUGCCGAAGCUAACGCAUUAAGUGUUUCCGCCUGGGGAGUACGACCGCAAGGUUGAAACUCAAAGGAAUUGACGGGGACCCGCACAAGCGGUGGAGCAUGUGUUUUAUUUCGAAGCUACGCGAAGAACCUUAACAUGUCUUGACAUCCUUUGAAGCUUUUAGAAGAUAGAAGUGUUCUCUUCGAGACAAAGUGACAGGUGGGUGCAUGGGUCGUCGUCAGCUCGUGUUCGUGAGAUGGUUGGGUUAAGGUCCCGCAACGAGCGCUAACUCUUUGUGUUAGUUGCCAGCAUUUCGAAUGGGCACUCUAGCGAGACUGCCCGUGUGACAU